GGUAUGGUGGUGCAGUGGGCAGCACUUUUGCCCCUCAGCAGGAAGGUCAUGGGUUUGAAUCCCACCUGAGGCU